rnacentral:rRNA from 1 species
AACGAACGCUGGCGGCAGGCUUAACACAUGCAAGUCGAGCGCUUCACUUCGGUGAGGAGCGGCGGACGGGUGAGUAACGCGUGGGAACGUACCCUUUACUUCGGAAUAGCCACUGGAAACGGUGAGUAAUACCGGAUGCGCCCUUAGGGGGAAAGAUUUAUCGGUAAAGGAUCGGCCCGCGUUAGAUUAGGUAGUUGGUGGGGUAAUGGCCUACCAAGCCUACGAUCUAUAGCUGGUUUGAGAGGAUGAUCAGCCACACUGGGACUGAGACACGGCCCAG